rnacentral:rRNA from 1 species
CAUAGCGACUAUCGUGGCAUAUCAAUAAGCGGAGGAAAAGAAACUAACAAGGAUUCCCCUAGUAACGGCGAGUGAAGCGGGAAGAGCUCAAAUUUGAAAUCUUAAAGGGUUUGCCCUUGACGAAUUGUAGUUUAAAGAAGUGUUUUCGGUUAGAGGAGUUCGUAAAAGUUCUUUGGAAUAGGACAUCAUAGAGGGUGAGAAUCCCGUAUUUGACCUAUUAUUUCCAGCUUUGUGAUACACUUUAAAGAGUCGGAUUGUUUGGGAAUGCAGUCCAAAAUGGGUGGUAAAUUUCAUCUAAAGCUAAAUAUUGGCGAGAGACCGAUAGCGAACAAGUACCGUGAGGGAAAGAUGAAAAGAACUUUGAAAAGAGAGUUAAACAGUACGUGAAAUUGUCAAAAGGGAAGCGUUUGACACCAGUGUUGUUUUCUCGAAAAUCAAUUAAAAAAGGCCGGAUUUUGUGUUGUAUUGACCUUAAAAGCUUUCUUCACUCUUUUCUUGUCUUUUUUAAUGCACUUUUCGUUUAACAAGUCAACAUCAGUUUCUUUUGUUGUAAAAGGGUCAUUGGAAGGUGGCUUUCUUUUCGGAGAAAGUGUUUAUAGCCUUUGAUCUCUGCAACCGGAGAGACUGAGGUCUGCAGCGUAGACUCUUCGGGGUUAGAUACAUUUGUGCUAGGCUAUAGCUUUUUAUAGACAGCUUGUUGACUAUAUUUAGUCUUGUGGCUUACUCGCUUAUGCUAUUUUACCUACGCUUAGGAUGUUGACGAGACUGUCGACUC